rnacentral:rRNA from 1 species
CCUACGGGUGGCAGCAGUGAGGAAUAUUGGUCAAUGGACGUGAGUCUGAACCAGCCAAGUAGCGUGAAGGAUGACUGCCCUAUGGGUUGUAAACUUCUUUUAUAUGGGAAUAAAAUGUUCCACGUGUGGGAUUUUGUAUGUACCCUAUGAAUAAGGAUUGGCUAACUCCGUGCCAGCAGCCGCGGUAAUACGGAGGAUCCGAGCGUUAUCCGGAUUUAUUGGGUUUAAAGGGAGCGUAGGUGGAUUGUUAAGUCAGUUGUGAAAGUUUGCGGCUCAACCGUAAAAUUGCAGUUGAAACUGGCAGUCUUGAGUACAGUAGAGGUGGGCGGAAUUCGUGGUGUAGCGGUGAAAUGCUUAGAUAUCACGAAGAACUCCGAUUGCGAAGGCAGUUCACUGGACUGCAACUGACACUGAGGCUCGAAAGUGUGGGUAUCAAACAGGAUUAGAUACCCGUGUAGUC